GAUGAACGCUGGCGGCGUGCCUAAUACAUGCAAGUCGAGCGAACAGACGAGGAGCUUGCUCCUCUGACGUUAGCGGCGGACGGGUGAGUAACACGUGGAUAACCUACCUAUAAGACUGGGAUAACUUCGGGAAACCGGAGCUAAUACCGGAUAAUAUAUUGAACCGCAUGGUUCAAUAGUGAAAGACGGUUUUGCUGUCACUUAUAGAUGGAUCCGCGCCGCAUUAGCUAGUUGGUAAGGUAACGGCUUACCAAGGCAACGAUGCGUAGCCGACCUGAGAGGGUGAUAGGCCACACUGGAACUGAACCACGGUCAAGACUCCUACGGGAGGCAGCAGUAGGGAAUCUUACGCAAUGGGCGAAAGCCUGACGGAGCAACGCCGCGUGAGUGAUGAAGGUCUUCGGAUCGUAAAACUCUGUUAUUAGGGAAGAACAAAUGUGUAAGUAACUAUGCACGUCUUGACGGUACCUAAUCAGAAAGCCACGGCUAACUACGUG
rnacentral:rRNA from 1 species